GACGAACCGUGCGAACGUUGUUCGGAAUCACUGGGCUUAAAGGGCGCGUAGGCGGAGUGGCAAGUCUGUGGGGAAAUCCCCCGGCUCAACCGGGGAACUGCCGUGGAUACUGCCAUUCUCGAGGGGUGUAGGGGCAUGCGGAACUCAGGGUGGAGCGGUGAAAUGCGUAGAUAUCCUGAGGAACGCCGGUGGCGAAAGCGGCGUGCUGGACACCUUCUGACGCUGAGGCGCGAAAGCCAGGGGAGCGAACGGG
rnacentral:rRNA from 1 species